GGGGUGGUGGCUCUGUGGUAGAGCACUGGCCUAGCAAGUGAGAGACACUGGGUUCAAUCCUCAGCACCCCA
rnacentral:tRNA from 1 species